rnacentral:rRNA from 1 species
UACGGGGGGAGCAAGCGUUGUUCGGAUUUACUGGGCGUAAAGGGCGCGUAGGCGGCCAGCACAAGUCAGUUGUGAAAUCUCCGGGCUUAACUCGGAAAGGUCAACUGAUACUGUGCGGCUAGAGUGCAGAAGGGGCAACUGGAAUUCUCGGUGUAGCGGUGAAAUGCGUAGAUAUCGUUUGGAACGCCAAUGGUGAAAACAGGUUGCUGGGAGUGUGCUGACGCUGAGACACGAAAGCCAGGGGAGCGAACGGG